rnacentral:rRNA from 1 species
UGGGGAAUUUUGGACAAUGGGCGAAAGCCUGAUCCAGCAAUGCCGCGUGUGUGAAGAAGGCCUUCGGGUUGUAAAGCACUUUUGUCCGGAAAGAAAUCCUUGGGCUCUAAUACAGUCGGGGGAUGACGGUACCGGAAGAAUAAGCACCGGCUAACUACGUGCCAGCAGCCGCGGUAAUACGUAGGGUGCAAGCGUUAAUCGGAAUUACUGGGCGUAAAGCGUGCGCAGGCGGUUUGCUAAGACCGAUGUGAAAUCCCCGGGCUCAACCUGGGAACUGCAUUGGUGACUGGCAGGCUAGAGUAUGGCAGAGGGGGGUAGAAUUCCACGUGUAGCAGUGAAAUGCGUAGAGAUGUGGAGGAAUACCGAUGGCGAAGGCAGCCCCCUGGGCCAAUACUGACGCUCAUGCACGAAAGCGUGGGGAGCAAACAGGAUUAGAUACCCUGGUAGUCCAGCGCCCUAAAACGAUGUCAACUAGUUGUUGGGGAUUCAUUUCCUUAGUAACGUAGCUAACGCGUGAAGUUGACCGCCUGGGGAGUACGGUCGCAAGAUUAAAACUC